ACCUUCCACCAUCAGAGGAAGCUUCGUGAUGAAUGUAUCUGCAUUCUGACCCUCUUUGGCAUCUGCCCUUAGUGAAAUCAAAACAUCGCUCAGAAGAUUUAUUACCUCUAUUCAGUUCAGGCUUCUCCCAGGGUCUCUGAGAAGGCCUAUCUCGUGAGUAAUCCCUUCGCUCACGUGAAUCUGUAAAGCUUCCCCUACUGUCGUACCCG
rnacentral:misc_RNA from 1 species